rnacentral:ncRNA from 2 species
GAAUACGACUAACGUGAUAUCUAUAUAUCGUCGAAAUAAGGUCGUCAGUUUCUACCCUGAACCAGAAAUUCAGGACUAUAGGCAAUUGAGGUCAUAAU